rnacentral:rRNA from 1 species
GAUGAACACUGGCGGCGUGCCUAAUACAUGCAAGUCGAGCGAACAGACGAGGAGCUUGCUCCUCUGACGUUAGCGGCGGACGGGUGAGUAACACGUGGAUAACCUACCUAUAAGACUGGGAUAAAUUCGGGAAACCGGAGCUAAUACCGGAUAAUAUAUUGAACCGCAUGGUUCCAUAGUGAAAGACGGUUUUGCUGUCCCUUAUAGAUGGAUCCGCGCCGCAUUAGCUAGUUGGUAAGGUAACGGCUUACCAAGGCAACGAUGCGUAGCCGACCUGAGAGGGUGAUCGGCCACACUGGAACUGAGACACGGUCCAGACUCCUACGGGAGGCAGCAGUAGGGAAUCUUCCGCAAUGGGCGAAAGCCUGACGGAGCAACGCCGCGUGAGUGAUGAAGGUCUUCGGAUCGUAAAACUCUGUUAUUAGGGAAGAACAAAUGUGUAAGUAACUAUGCACGUCUUGACGGUACCUAAUCAGAAAGCCACGGCUAACUACGUGCCAGCCGCCGCCGUAA